rnacentral:rRNA from 1 species
GAUGAACGCUCGCUACAGGCUUAACACAUGCAAGUCGAGGGGAAACGACAUCGAAAGCUUGCUUUUGAUGGGCGUCGACCGGCGCACGGGUGAGUAACGCGUAUCCAACCUGCCCACCACUUGGGGAUAACCUUGCGAAAGUAAGACUAAUACCCAAUGACGUCUCUAGAAGACAUCUGAAAGAGAUUAAAGAUUUAUCGGUGAUGGAUGGGGAUGCGUCUGAUUAGCUUGUUGGCGGGGUAACGGCCCACCAAGGCGACGAUCAGUAGGGGUUCUGAGAGGAAGGUCCCCCACAUUGGAACUGAGACACGGUCCAAACUCCUACGGGAGGCAGCAGUGAGGAAUAUUGGUCAAUGGACGAGAGUCUGAACCAGCCAAGUAGCGUGCAGGAGGACGGCCCUAUGGGUUGUAAACUGCUUUUAUAAGGGAAUAAAGUGAGUCUCGUGAGACUUUUUGCAUGUACCUUAUGAAUAAGGACCGGCUAAUUCCGUG